CUCAUUUAAAAUUCAAAUGUUGUACUAGUAAAAAGUCUAUAUAAUGUAAAAAAAAAAAAAUUAAAAAUAAUAUUGCUUGUUAGAACUGCUAGCCUGAAAUGUUGAGCCUGCAAAUACUGAGGGCAGUUUGCGGCUGACUGUAAUAUACUUAUGUUUAUAUAAUUUAGCGCCAGCUUCAGCCACGCCCAGCUGCCUAGAAGGCAGCGCAUAUAAAAAUGAUAAAGCAAAAUGGCGAAAAGUGGCAGUAAAAAAAUAAAAUGCGCUGCCGCAAAAGUGCCAUUUGUGGCAUAAACACAUGCGCGGCAAAGUUUGAUAAGACAAAAGGCACACGAGUGGGCGGCUGUCUGGCUGACUGGCAGGCUAACAGGUUAACAUAAAAGCUGUUAUCACACGAGACCAGUUAAUGGGCGGCCACAAAGAUAGCAUGGCUAUAAACUAAAUCUGUUUGGUUGAGCGGGACUAGAAAUGGAAAUGCAUACGAGUCCAAGGACCUAUAAUUGACCUUGUGUCGGCACCUAGGCUCACAAAAGCACAGUUUUAUUUCAGUUAAAAUAAAGAAUAAAAAGCAAGGCACGUA